AUUGAACGCUGGCGGCAGGCCUAACACAUGCAAGUCGAACGAGUGGCGGACGGGUGAGUAAUGUCUGGGAAACUGCCCGAUGGAGGGGGAUAACUACUGGAAACGGUGGCUAAUACCGCAUACCAUCGGAUGUACCCAUAUGGGAUUAGCUAGUAGGUGGGGUAAAGGCUCACCUAGGCGACGAUCCCUAGCUGGUCUGAGAGGAUGACCAGCCACACGGGAACUGAGACACGGUCCAGCCUCCUACGGUAGGCAGCAGAGGGGAAUAUUGCACAAUGGGCGCAAGCCUGAUGAAGCCAUGCCGCGUGUAUGAAGAAGGCCUUCGGGUUGUAAAGUACUUUCAGCGGGGAGGCGUUACCCGCAGAAGAAGCACCGGCUAACUCCGUGCCAGCAGCCGCGGUAAUAC
rnacentral:rRNA from 1 species